UCCGAUAUGGUGUAGUGGCUAACAUUAUCGCCUCUCAUAUUGAAGUUAGUCAUAUGAACGCGAUAGCCCGGGGUUCGAUUCCCCGUGUCGGAA
rfam:Neolentinus lepideus HHB14362 ss-1 unplaced genomic scaffold NEOLEscaffold_1, whole genome shotgun sequence.